rnacentral:lncRNA from 1 species
CAACUGCAAGUCAUAUCUGUCUUCUACCAUCUCAAUCUCAACCACAUCGGUGACCCGCAAGCUGGGAUCCUCCAUCAUGGAGUGACACACACUCCUGGCCAGAGCAGCUACAGGAGGAGGUCCAGAAGGAGGAGAGGAGGUGCAGGCCCAGCUGCUGCCCUGUGUAGACUGUCAUUCCAGACCAUUACAGAGUGAAGAGAAGUUAUUCUAUUUUUAAGGACCGCCAAAGUAGAUUCCACUGUCUUCACAACCUAUUCUGGUGUCUACGAGCUCUCAGCAUUGGCAAGUUUUCCUUGGGAUCUAACAAAAUUCUGUCCAUAGAAGCUCAGGCCAGCCAGCCAGCCAUGGGAGCCAGAGAAAACUUCCACCACCCCAGAUAAAAUCUACCUCAGAUUUUCAAGAUGGUCCGUAAACCUCUGGAGCCAUGAUAAUCCUAAUUUCCACAGCCUCCUUUGGCAUUUGGAGAGUUUGCUGUGGAAGCUCAAUGCUGAACUUCCCCUCAUAGGGAGACCUCUUCACCCACCAGAGAGGAGGGAAGCCAGCACCAAACAGCGCUUCAGCCUUGCUGAGUUUAGAGGGUGAGGGGGUGAGCGAGCCAUUGUCCCGGUGCCCACAGAGGCCUGCCCGCUCACACCCUGGGCCUGCCAGCUGCUGUUGCUGCCCCCACCCCUCUCAGCACCCUCCCCUCCAUGUCGAGGGACUGGCCCUCCCCCGCCCCAAGAGUGCCUUCCGGCCUUCAAGGAAUAGAGGCCAGAAGUAUCAAGGAAACAUGGCCUCACCCAAGAGGAAAAGGAAGCUCAAAAACCAGGCCAGAGGGUGAGGUGGUGCUGGGGCAUAGGAUGCAUCUGGCCGUCACAUUACUGAGGGAGGAAGGGAGAAAAGGAAACCAAGUGCUGGUGGCCUGAAGGCUGCCCAGCCUCAGCGAUUUCUUCACACAUGCCUCUGAUUGCCCUGACCGAGGUUCAAAACCGGCUUGAAAAUUGCUUCCAGCUCACAUUCUGAUUCCAAUAUAAAGGUAACACAUGAAAGACAGUGGAAAUGAUGACCAGGCAGGACCCUGAAAAACAAACAUUUGUGAGUAAAAACUGUCUGCGUGGGGAUAGACUGCCUGUACUGAAAGAGUAGCCUCGGCUGUAUGCACAGUUUAGGCGUUCACGGAUUCCCCCAGGCCUGCGGGGAGGAUGGGCUCCAGAGUGCAAGGCAUGUUAACUAGCACAGCUGUGGGUAGAAAGAGCACUGAUCUUAACGAGAAAGGUCUGGGUUCCACCCCAAUCUCUGGGAAGGCACUGGGAGUCUGUUUUCUAGGCUAGAUCAGUGUUUCCACUGAUGGAUUCCUAUUUUGUGCCCCAAAAUGUCAUGUUCCCUCCACAUGUGGAGUAGCAUCUUCUAUGGUGAGCUGGCUUCAAAAGAUAAAUAUAAGACAAAAUGAUUGCUCAUGUAAAAGUUUCCCUUUAAAACUUCUUAAAUUACUGACAAAUACAGAAAUACACUCUAUCAUGAGAGGUUUGGGCAAGAGCUGAAACCCACUGAGGGGAAGCAGUCACAUCCACCAAUCUGUGCUCAGCCUGGGCAUCCAUCCCUUCAUGGAGCCAAAUCACCAACUCUAUUAAAAGACUGUGGGAUCCCAGCACUUUGGGAGGCCAAGGUGGGCAGACCACCUGAGGUCAGGAGUGCAAGACCAGCCUGAUCAACGUGGUGAAACCCCAUCUCUACUAAAAAUACAAAAUUAGCCAGGCGUGGUGGCACAUGCCUAUAGUCCCAGCUACUCGGGAGGCUGAGGCAGGAGAAUCCCUUGAACCCAGGAGGCGGAGGUUACGGUGAGUCGAGAUUGCACCAUUGCACUCCAGCCUGGGUGACAGAGUGAGACUCUGUCUCAAAAAAAAAGAUGGUGGUUUAAUUUCUGUUUUGCUGUUUGUAAGAAUUUCUUUUUUCUCUUUUUCUUUUCUUUUUGUUUUGCUAAACCCACAGAGUCAUGUUUGCAUAGGUUCAAUAUGCAUAUAAUGCAACUCAAUCCUAAAUAUAUUUUUAAAUAUAUGUUGAUUUUUAAAAUAUAUUAUGGGUCCAGCUGCAGUGGCUCAUGCCUACAAUCCCAGCACUUUGGGAGGCCGAGGUGGGAGGAUUGCUUGAGACCAGGAGCUGGAGACUGGCCUGGGCCACAUAGUGAGACCCCCAUCUCUACAAAAAAAAUAGCUGGGCAUGCUGGUGCACACCUGUAGUCCCAGCUACUCAGGAGGCUGAGGCAGGAGGAUUGCUUGAGUCCAGGAGUUCAAGGCUGCAGUGUACUAUGAUUGUGACAUUGCACUCCAGCCUGGGCUACAGAGCUAGACCCCAUCUCUUAAGAAAAAAUAGAUUAUGGUAAAUGUGACUGGAAACUCAUGAAAGUUUUUCUAUGAAUUUGUGUUUUAUUCAUUGUAACAACAUUCAUGCACAUUUACAAAAGAAAGAAAUGAUAUACAUGUGUGGUGAGAUACGUGAAUUAUCCAGGCAUAGAUGAUGCUAGAUGCAGAGGGAUUAGCUGGCCUCUGGCAGUGCAGCUGAGGUGGUCAAAUGGGAGCCAAAUGAAUAAAAUGGCCUAAAUAAUGCACAGCUUGAAAUCUUGAUGCAUCUGUGGUCUCAACACAAGUCCAUGCUCAUUUCAACUCCAUGCUUAUACUUGGCUUUCAGCUCACAUUUCAGAAAACUAAUUUUGAACAAGGGAGAUUGAAAUUAUUUUUAUUUAGC